CCCCCUCACCCUGGCGCGCCCUGCGCGCUCCGGUUUCAGCGCGUGCACGAGGCCAGAGCGCGCGCGCCCGGCCGCCCCCUCCUCGCCUUGACCCAGCUCCCUUGUUCCCGACCCAUCUGCUCCGUUCUUCGCACCCGCGGACUGGAGGCUCGGGGCCAGCUGGCGCCCGGGCCCCAGAAGUCGGGGAGGAGCCGGAGACCCCCGCGCGCCCCCGCCCCCGGCCUGGAGCCGGACACGUGCGUGGCGGAUCGCGCCGGCCACGUCGGCGCCGCUGCAGACUAGCGCCAGCCCCUGGGGGCGGCUCCUCAGCUUGGCGCUCGGCGCGGCACCCGCUAACCUCACUGGGGGGACCUCGUGGGAGACGCGGGUGCGGCUCACCCAGCGUUACCUCCGCUACUUUCACCCUAGUCCGAGCCACCGCUUCGCUAGCCUGGGUUCCUGUGAGGACCUUCUCACCAGCCUGGGUUCCUGUGAGGACCUUCUCACCGGACUCGCUGCUCCCGCCUUUGCUCUCAAACCAUCCAUUUACCCAAGACGAUGGUUUAGCCCCUGGAGGCUGUUGCCUGGAGGUGUCCCAUGAUUUCAUCCCUUCCCUUAGCUACCACCUGUGUUCACUCUGCCGUAUAUAGUCUCUCUCUCCCCCCUUUCCUUAUUUUGCCUUGUUUCCCAAGCUUAAGAUAACCCUCCCCACCCACACCCCCAUGGAGCUAGGGCUGCCCACUAUUUUCACUAAACUCAUAGCUCAAAUAUCAUCUCCGGCACCCCCCACCACAACCCAUUUCAAAUAGUCACCCUGUGUCACAUCGUCCUGUGCUAAGUUUUUGUUGGGCACCUGUCACUAUCUGAUCUUUAACCCAUUUAUUCCUUGUCUCUGCCCCGUGUUAAUGUGUUCAGAGCUGUAUCCCCAGGACCUAGAACAAGACCUGUUAUAUAGUAGAAACCCGAUAUGAUUGAAUUGAAUGCUCGCUCUUAUCUGGAAUCCCCACCACUAGCACAAUUCCUGGCACAUUGUAGGUGCUCAAAAAAUGAAUAAAGGUCUGGAUAGCAGUCCAAAGGAAUACAUCCCAAUUUGGCAGACAAUAGUGUGUGCAAUCGUAAGUGCAAGAGGCAGGACCAGCUGCAUAUGCGUCCAACCUAUGUAGUUGCACAGUGCUCCCAGCUUAGAAGGGCUUCGAGCUUGGUUUAAUAUUCUGGUGUCGCCAUUUUGAAAUUCGUAAUUUUUCAGAAAGGGGCUCCGCAUUUUCCUUUUCCAGUCUUACCUAGAGUUACCCAACCCUGACACCUGUCUCUUUCUUCCUAAUCUACAAGAGAUCCCUGGGCUACUGGUCCCCUUAGAUGACAAAAUACAGAACAACACAGGGACACAUUAAGUCUACUGAAAGUUUUUAUUUCCAUCUACUUCUGAGAUUUUGUAUCAUGUUAUAGUCCUUAGCCUUUAAGAAGACAAAUAAACUUUUCCAAUUUACCUCAGUAAGUUAGUAGCUCCCCACAGCCUACAAAUUCAGUCUCUUAUCAUUCAAACCAGCCCUAACUUUUCCUGGCCAUGCCCCAACUUCUACCAUCUUCUACC
rnacentral:lncRNA from 10 species